rnacentral:lncRNA from 1 species
UUCUUUAUUUUCCACUCUCUCUCUUCAAAUCAAAACCAAACGAAAGGGCUCUGUACAGAGCGCCUCCCUCUGCAAACCCUAAAGCUCCUCUCUCUUAGAGAGGACGACUGGAGACGGCGGCUCACGGCGGAGCCUCCGCUCUCCUUCGUCGCUUCAUUCUCUCCCGUUCCUAACUCUGAUUCAUGAACCAACCCUCUUUCUCCUUCUCAUAAUUUCGAGACACACAAUAUAAAAUCAUGCGAAAACAAACUCAAUCAAAAUAUCUACAAAAAAGGGAAACUCAUGGAAGAAGAUAGGUGUGAAUCGUUUACCAAAUCGGAAGCUCUGAAAAUCUCCGGGUUCGGUGAGAUCCUCCGGAUGUCGGCAACGGUUCUCUUCGGCGAGCGAUUCUUCAGUGAGGUGAACUACUUUCCCUUUGCUUUUCCGUAAGUUUUUAAGGUUUUUUUAGGAAUUUCUUGAUGUGUUCUUCUGGGUUUGAAAGAAAUUGAUUUGUUGUUCUUGUGUUCGUUUUUAGGGUUUUUAGGAAUAUUAAUGUGUUGUUCUUGCAAAAGUUCUUUGUUUAGUGAGACAAGAGUACACACACAAAGAGAAAAAUGCUCUGUUGUUGCUGUUAACUUUUUAGGGUUUUUAGAGAAAAUUAAUUUGUUGUUCUUGGUGUUGUGUUCUUAUGUGUCUUUUUGUUGUUGUGUUCUUGCUGUGUGUUUUUUUAAGUCUUGAAAACUCCUUUCUUUUUCGAUUUUCCCAUCCCAGAUUAUGUGGGAUUUAAUUUCUGUGGAUUUGUUCUGUUUUAAGUUAUUAUUGCAAUGCCUUUUUGGAUGUUCAAGUUAACCUGCUGGGUAAAGUUUCAAACUGAGUAAUUUAUUUAGUUAUUUUUUAGUUUUUUAAGCGCUUUUGAAAAAUACUUUUUUAAAUAAGCUGUUUUUUCUUCUCUGCAGGUUAUAGGAAUGAAGUGACCUUGAUGGAAUGGAAAAGUGGCGGUAAGAAAGCACACUUGGAGGCGCGCCCAAGUCCAAGGGGUUUUCAAUUUGAUUACUUGGUCUUGGUCAUUAGAAUUAGGAACAUGUUUUUGCAGCAAAUUCCACUUAGUUAAAAUGUGUAUUUGGACUUAUCUGUAACUUAUUGAAUUAAAUCUAAUAGCCACUAAUAACUAUGUAUUCAACCUUUUAAGCUUUCAAAACUUAACUCAAUAUUUAUUCAUGCUAAUCAAUUUCAACUUUUAAAAACAAC